GGUUUCAUUGUUUAACGAAGAACCGUCGCCGUCCAUUAUUCAACCACAAAUCACCACCGAUGUAAGUUACUCCUUAUCUUUCUUUCUCUCUUUCCCUCUCUUUCUCUCUGACUAUGGUUGAAAUAUUAAGUUUGGUUGAACUAUUUCUGAUGGGUUUGACUUUGUUUUGUUUUAACUCCGAUUCUAAAACUGCUUCUUCAGAUUGAUUUUGAAGGUGUUGUCGGUAAAUAUUGUUCCUACUCAGCUCGCCGACAACUUCCGGAAUAAGAAGCCUGAGGUUUUACUCUUGGCCGUUAUAAACUUCAUGUUAUCUAUAGCUACCUAAUAACUAGCUGUUCAAAUAAAAAGUGAUUUUUAAAAAGUGAUUUUUGAAGCUAUAACUACUGGAUAACGCAACAGCAAAUGAAGAAUCAUUAGUUACUGCUAUGAAGAAAUAAUCAUUUUCUUACACAAGUUUGAAAUCACUUUUUUCAAGCAUUAACAAUAGGCUCUUAUAUCAUGCUAGUCUUGCAUCUGACAAAAAUAAGUUUAAGUGUUAUAGAGUGAUUUGUUUUUAGAAUUAGUUAUUUGUGAUUGGGGCAAGUAUUUUUGAACUACUGUUUUGCAGCCUCAGUGUUCUGUUAUUUUCUAUUUAUUUUGUACUUUCUUGAAUUUCAUAUAUGUUAUAAAACUAUUUCAUUGUUCAGUUGUUUGGGUUGUGAUUAUUAGUUUGAGUAAGCUAAGCUAUACUUGAUGUGUGAGUUUUGUGUAUGGUUCACAUUAGUUCUGGUUUUGUUUGAAUAGCUUUAUACUGAUUAUUAUGGCUUGUUUGAAUAUUAUGAGAAUGGUUUGGACAUAUCAAGAUAUUACGAUGCUUAGGUGUUGGAUCAUAAGUCACAUUCAUUUUAAUAGUUGUUGCUUUUAAUCCUAGGAUUUAACCUUUUAAUUAUAAAUUGAAUUGAGGAAUUCAAUUUUUAUAUCUUCUCCGUUAGAGAAUUCUUUACUUUCCCCAAGUUGAAAACUUUGUUAGUUCAUGUAAAGUUUAUUAUUCUCUUUUCUCAUUUCAUCUAUUUGUAUAGAUAUAUAAAUAUAGAUGAUAUACUUAAAUUUUUACCUUAGCUGCAUAUUGAAAUGUUUUUUUUGUCAAUGUCUGAACCUCAUCAGUCUUUUUGAUUACGUUAUCUAGUAAUUUAUAUGCUGUUUCUGUCAUCAUAUUUGGUUUAUAGGGUGAAAGUAUGUGCAAAUCAGGCCUAACAAUUGUUUAUAUGUACAUCUUAAUUGAAAUUGCUUUACACAAUAGAUCUGUCCAACUGUAGUUUGUUUUGGAAGUCGUGUUAUUUAAUUUGAAAUUUGCUUUAACACAGAAAAGAUGUAGACUAACAACCAAGUUUGUUUACAAAGUCUGAAUAUUCGAUAAAAAUCAAAAAAGAAAUGAAAAUUUAAUAAUUAUGAGGGCAUGGUCAAGAGUAUUUCAAUCUUGGUUGUUUCUAAUGGAAUCUGUAAACCAAUGUGCUGUUAUUGUAACGAGGAACAAUAUUCUAAAGGUAAUUGGAUGAGUCCUGCCGCCAACGACCUAACUCAAUCGAAGUAUAAAUCUGUGUCCAAAAACCGUUUAAUCCAUUAUACAUCGUUUAAUACUUUGAUAGUUUUUUAAUAUAAAUAUUAUUUGUAAUUCUUGUCUGUUUGUAACUAUUUUAAAAUAAUAUUUAUAAGUAUUCCUCUAUUUGUUUUGUAUCCUCUAAGGGCCACAUGGUUUGGUCGGUUGUGGGCUGGGUUUCUUUAUUCUGUCCAGCGCCUAACACUCCCUAUUCAAAUACUUGUCUUUUUAAAUUUCUUUUCGUUGAAAACAUUGAACUUUCUAACCAGCAAUCAACCGCACCGACACAAUUUCAAGGUAAGUGUCCUAAUAAGGUAUUCUCAUAUGAAGUGGCAUUUAGGCAAAGAAUGAGUUGUUAUUAUUUGGCUUGUACUGUAUGCUUUAGUGUGAUAAUAAUUUGUUAUGAAGGUGCCAGCUAAUUGAUCAUAGCACGAAUGGGAAGAAGAUAAAUUUGAGUUUGGUUGGCCUACUCAACAACACUUGAUGUCAGAAGCAGUGGAUGCAUAUCAUUAAAAUUUAUUUUCUAGUUCUGCUAAUAAGAUGCAGUUCUUAAACAUUUAUCCUCAUAUUAAUGCUGGAAAAAAAUUAUUGGUGCGCGUUGGUAUAUUAAAGGAUAUGAAGUAGAAUUCGGUAAUCACACUUCUGGUACUAGUUUUCUGUAAUCACACUUCUUUUUUCAAAUGAUUUUUCAUCACUUUUUA
rnacentral:lncRNA from 1 species